GGGAACUCGGCAAAAUGACCCCGUAACUUCGGGAGAAGGGGUGCUCUGUUAGGGUGCAAGCCCGAGAGAGCCGCAGUGAAUAGACCCAGGCGACUGUUUAGCAAAAACACAGGUCUCUGCGAAGCCGUAAGGCGAAGUAUAGGGGCUGACGCCUGCCCGGUGCUGGAAGGUUAAGAGGAGCGCUUAGCGUAAGCGAAGGUGCGAAUUGAAGCCCCAGUAAACGGCGGCCGUAACGAUAACGGUCCUAAGGUAGCGAAAUUCCUUGUCGGGUAAGUUCCGACCCGCACGAAAGGCGCAACGAUCUGGGCACUGUCUCAACGAGAGACUCGGUGAAAUUAUAGUACCUGUGAAGAUGCAGGUUACCCGCGACAGGACGGAAAGACCCCGUGGAGCUUUACUGCAGCCUGAUAUUGAAUGUUGGUACAGCUUGUACAGGAUAGGUAGGAGCCUUGGAAACCGGAGCGCCAGCUUUGGUGGAGGCAUCGGUGGGAUACUACCCUGGCUGUAUUGACCUUCUAACCCGCCGCCCUUAUCGGGCGGGGAGACAGUGUCAGGUGGGCAGUUUGACUGGGGCGGUCGCCUCCUAAAAGGUAACGGAGGCGCCCAAAGGUUCCCUCAGAAUGGUUGGAAAUCAUUCGCAGAGUGUAAAGGCACAAGGGAGCUUGACUGCGAGACCUACAAGUCGAGCAGGGACGAAAGUCGGGCUUAGUGAUCCGGUGGUUCCGCAUGGAAGGGCCAUCGCUCAACGGAUAAAAGCUACCCCGGGGAUAACAGGCUUAUCUCCCCCAAGAGUCCACAUCGACGGGGAGGUUUGGCACCUCGAUGUCGGCUCAUCGCAUCCUGGGGCUGUAGUCGGUCCCAAGGGUUGGGCUGUUCGCCCAUUAAAGCGGUACGCGAGCUGGGUUCAGAACGUCGUGAGACAGUUCGGUCCCUAUCCGUCGCGGGCGCAGGAAAUUUGAGAGGAGCUGUCCUUAGUACGAGAGGACCGGGAUGGACGCACCGCUGGUGUACCAGUUGUUCUGCCAAGGGCAUCGCUGGGUAGCUAUGUGCGGACGGGAUAAGUGCUGAAAGCAUCUAAGCAUGAAGCCCCCCUCAAGAUGAGAUUUCCCAUUCCGCAAGGAAGUAAGAUCCCUGAAAGAUGAUCAGGUUGAUAGGUCUGAGGUGGAAGUGUGGCGACACAUGGAGCUGACAGAUACUAAUCGAUCGAGGACUUAACC
rnacentral:rRNA from 1 species